AUUGAACGCUGGCGGCAGGCUUAACACAUGCAAGUCGAGCGGAGAGAGGUAGCUUGCUACUGAUCUUAGCGGCGGACGGGUGAGUAAUGCUUAGGAAUCUGCCUAUUAGUGGGGGACAACAUUUCGAAAGGAAUGCUAAUACCGCAUACGUCCUACGGGAGAAAGCAGGGGAUCUUCGGACCUUGCGCUAAUAGAUGAGCCUAAGUCGGAUUAGCUAGUUGGUGGGGUAAAGGCCUACCAAGGCGACGAUCUGUAGCGGGUCUGAGAGGAUGAUCCGCCACGCUGGGACUGAGACACGGCCCAGACUCCUACGGGAGGCAGCAGUGGGGAAUAUUGGACAAUGGGCGCAAGCCUGAUCCAGCCAUGCCGCGUGUGUGAAGAAGGCCUUAUGGUUGUAAAGCACUUUAAGCGAGGAGGAGGCUACUUUAGUUAAUACCUAGAGAUAGUGGACGUUACUCGCAGAAUAAGCACCGGCUAACUCUGUGCCAGCCGCCGCCGUAAGAC
rnacentral:rRNA from 1 species